rnacentral:rRNA from 1 species
AGGUGUGAUCAUACCGAUGUUAAUGCAACAGGUUCCCAUCAAAACUCCACAAUUAAGUGUGCUUUGGAUAGAGUGGUACUAGGAUGGGAGGUCUCCUAGAAAAUCCUAGUUUUGCACCCU